rnacentral:misc_RNA from 1 species
GUAAAAUCGUCUUUGUAGUAUUGUGAGCACAUUUUCAUAAAGUUUCUUUCUUUCUAAUAUUCGAAUAGGUUACUUCAAGCAAGCAAAGUCCUUAAUUUGCCAUGUCCAAUAUUGGGCAGUGCUGGAGUAAUCAAUGGCUAAGGUACUAAUUUCAUGCUUCUAAUCUUUUUUUUACCUGCCUAAUUAAGUUCUUUAAAAAAUGAUUUUCUAGUCUUUCUAUGUGCUUUUCAAAAGGUAUUGGUCCCGUCAUUUAAUAUAUAAAAUAUUUGUGAGGCAAUUGACAUGCUUUUUCUACGCGAAACAAUUUUGAAGUUUUGACUUUUCAGCUGUCAAAAGUUGACAUUUGACUAUGUAGGGGUUGGUAUGCCUCGAGAAUUCUUGGUUAGUACACACUGAGAAAAUAAAAUUCAUCACACUACCAAACUUUUACUCAAUCACGGUUAAAGUUAAAGUUUAAUUAUGUGAUAUGUAAAAAUUCUCUGUUUUGAAGUGC